AGGGUAUUGCGUGAAACUUGCUACGUACCGCACGCGAGUAGCAAUUCCGUCGCAAAACUUGCGAGGGAAGACUUCCUCGCAAAUUUGCGAGGGAAGUACGAUGGUUUCGCAAGAAAGAUAUUAUCCGUCGCAAAUCCCAAGCAGAUACGUCGCAAAUCUUUACCCUAAACCCUAAAAUACAUAAAAGUGUAUUGCAAUCUUUGAUUU
rnacentral:sRNA from 1 species